GAUUUCUGGUUUGGUGCGCCUAGCCCGCCACGGUUACGUGUGUGAGUGCCGGGUCGCGCCUGCCAUCCUUCCAGAGAACCUCUCUACUCUUCACUGAGCCGGAGAGUGUCUUUUCUGGAUCUUUUACUUUGAAAAAAUUAGAGUGUUUAAAGCAGGCGUUUGCUAUGAAUACAUUAGCAUGGAAUAAUAAUUUAGGACUUCGGUUCUAUUUUGUUGGUUUCUAGGACUGAAGUAAUGAUUGAUAGGGAUAGUUGGGGGUGCUAGUAUUCAGCGGCCAGAGGUGAAAUUCUUGGAUUCGCUGAAGACUAACUUAUGCGAAAGCAUU
rnacentral:rRNA from 1 species